rnacentral:rRNA from 1 species
GAUGAACGCUGGCGGCGUGCUUAACACAUGCAAGUCGAACGGUGAGGCCCUGGCUUUCUCUGCUGCUUCAGUGGCGAACGGGUGAGUAACACGUGAGCAAUCUGCCCCUGACUCUGGGAUAACCUCUGGAAACUGGGGCUAAUACUGGAUACGAGCUCCGACGGCAUGUUCGGGGUCGGGAAAUAUUGUCGGUCAGGGAUGGACUCGCGGCCUAUCAGCUUGUUGGUGGGGUAGUGGCUCACCAAGGCUUUGACGGGUAGCCGGCCUGAGAGGGUGACCGGCCACAAUGGGACUGAGAUACGGCCCAGACUCCUACGGGAGGCAGCAGUGGGGAAUAUUGCACAAUGGGCGGAAGCCUGAUGCAGCAACGCCGCGUGAGGGAUGACGGCCUUCGGGUUGUAAACCUCUUUUACCAGGGACGAAGCGAAAGUGACGGUAAUUGGUAAAAAAGCGCCGGCUAACUACGUG